AUACAGAGGGUGCGAGCGUUAAUCGGAAUUACUGGGCGUAAAGCGCGCGUAGGCGGUCUAUUAAGUCAGAUGUGAAAUCCCAGGGCUCAACCUUGGAACUGCAUCUGAUACUGGUAGACUAGAGUUUUGGAGAGGGAAGUAGAAUUUCAGGUGUAGCGGUGAAAUGCGUAGAGAUCUGAAGGAAUACCAGUGGCGAAGGCGACUUCCUGGCCAAAAACUGACGCUGAGGUGCGAAAGCGUGGGUAGCAAACGGGAUUAGAAACCCUAGUAGUCC
rnacentral:rRNA from 1 species